CGCGAAUACCAGGUCAAGCCGGAGUACAACAAUAUCCUCCGAGGGCAGCUGGAGAAGGCGGACGCGCUGGACCUGAGCUAUCUCCUGGACCCAAUGAUGAAAUAUAAAUCACCCAGAGUCCUGGGGUGGCUGUAAUAGAUCUACUCUAUAAAAAAUAAAGAAGUUCCAUUCGACAUCAUCCUUCUCCAUCAAUGAGAGUUUUGAGUUUUCUCCUUUCAGUAUAUAACUCUGUUUCCAAGACCUUUGCUUCAAUCAUGUUCCAUUAACGGAGGAUCAAAAGGUGGCCACCAAGAUGUCCACAAUUUCUGAUUUUGCUUUGAAGAUCCUCUGCUUCAAGCAACUCAGUCUGGAUGGAUCCAAAGCCUUCUCCAAGU